rnacentral:rRNA from 1 species
CAGCAGCCGCGGUAAUACGUAGGGUGCAAGCGUUAAUCGGAAUUACUGGGCGUAAAGCGUGCGCAGGCGGUUUGUUAAGACAGAUGUGAAAUCCCCGGGCUCAACCUGGGAACUGCAUUUGUGACUGGCAGGCUAGAGUGUGGCAGAGGGGGGUGGAAUUCCGCGUGUAGCAGUGAAAUGCGUAGAUAUGCGGAGGAACACCGAUGGCGAAGGCAGCCCCCUGGGCCAACACUGACGCUCAUGCACGAAAGCGUGGGGAGCAAACAGGAUUAGAUACCCCUGUAGUCCCUGUCUCUUAUAC